CUUUUACUUGCCUAUUACCAAAGAAGAUUUCAUGCAUGCCACAUCAAGUCGCCAUAGAUGCCUCCAAGUGAAAUUUCAGCGACGACAAGAUUUGGCAUCAUAUUGCCCAGUAACUGAAUAUGCACGCAGGAGGAUCACUCUGGAUGAUGGAAAAUGCAUUAUCCGUGUACUUUUCCACUCACUUCACACAAGAAUAUCUCAAGGGGCACAUGCAUGAAGAGCAUACUAAUUUGCUGAUCAAAGCUGGAAACAGACCUGCCAUCGUCAUUGCUCGGCUUAUCAUACAAUCACAAGAAGCUGGACUCAGUUCUUUGACAUCGCAAAUAUGAAAGGAGGAGUGCCAUGUGCAUUUGCCUUU